GACUGAUACCGACAUUAAACAGUGCCUGAGCUGACAGCAGCUCUUUCAACUCAAAAAUCUUGAAGCCCCACAGAGCUGCCAUCUCCUGCACCAGGCUUUUGUCCAUCAAAGGUUCCUUUAGCAUAGCCUCUCGGGGUUCAUCCCAAGUGGUAAAAUUUCAAUCUUCGCCUGACGUCUAUGAGACAAAGAGAAUCUUGACUUUCAACCGUGCAUGG
rnacentral:lncRNA from 1 species